rnacentral:lncRNA from 1 species
UCUUCAGAUGGGGUGAAAUGGUCUGAGAAACCAAGUUUCGUAUUUUAGGGUCAUUUUAAUUUGACUGGAUAGUAUUUUUUCGUAUAUUUGCAAUUUAAAUUGUAGAAUUUAAAAAUAAACAAAGAAUAUGGAUUCUAUUUAUAAAAUAAAAAAUAUUUGUUGAAUUUGGUGGAUUCCAAGGCUAAUUGACUAUAUGAGCAAAUGACUUGUAAUCCUUCCACCGUUGAGAGUGAGAGGUAAUCGCUGCUCUGUGAAACCAGCCUCACGCAUUACCCUCAAGUUCAGGGAGAAUAUGAUUCAAGCGUUAGCCUGAAACAUAACAUCCACUGCCCAACUUGGAAACGGGCAAAUCAAAGCUAGCUCAUAAUGUAAACCUUGAAUUCAAUACCAAAUUAUUCAAAUACCUUAAUGCUCCACUUGGUGACAAGCCCACGUUACCGAGCUCAGCGAUUGAUUUGUAGAUUUCUUGUAUAUAAACAACAAAGCUUUUUUAAUUUCUUCGAUGUGGGAUUAUUUCUUAUAGUUUAUUUUGUUAUAUAAGUUAAAAAUAAAAAUCUUCAGAUGGGGUGAAAUGGUCUGAGAAACCAAGUUUCAUAUUUUAGGGUCAUUUUAAUUUGACUGGAUAGUAUUUUUUCGUAUAUUUGCAAUUUAAAUUGUAGAAUUUAAAAAUAAACAUAGAAUAUGGAUUCUAUUUAUAAAAUAAAAAAUAUUUGUUGAAUUUGGUGGAUUCCAAGGCUAAUUGACUAUAUGAGCAAAUGACUUGUAAUCCUUCCACCGUUGAGAGUGAGAGGUAAUCGCUGCUCUGUGAAACCAGCCUCACGCAUUACCCUCAAGUUUAGGGAGAAUAUGAUUCAAGCGUUGGCCUGAAACAUAGCAUCCACUGCCCAACUUGGAAACGGGCAAAUCCAAGUUAGCUCAUAAUGUAAACCUUGAAUUCAAUACCAAAUUAUUCAAAUACCUUAAUGCUCCACUUGGUGACAAGCCCACGUUACCGAGCCCAGCGAUUGAUUUGUAGAUUUCUUGUAUAUAAACAACAAAGCUUUUUUCAAUUUCUUCGAUGUGGGAUUAUUUCUUAUAGUGGUAUUUUGUUAUAUAAGUAUAAAAAAUAAAUCUUCAGAUGGGGUGAAAUGGUCUGAGAAACCAAGUUUCGUAUUUUAGGGUCAUUUUAAUUUGACUGGAUAGUAUUUUUUCGUAUAUUUGCAAUUUAAAUUGUAGAAUUGAAAAAUAAACAAAGAAUAUGGAUUCUAUUUAUAAAAUAAAAAAAUAAUUGUUGAAUUUGGUGGAUUCCAAGGCUAAUUGACAAUAUGAGCAAAUGACUUGUAAUCCUUCCACCGUUGAGAGAGAGAGGUAAUCGCUGCUCUGUGAAACCAGCCUCACGCAUUACCCUCAAGUUUAGGGAGAAUAUGAUUCAAGCGUUAGCUUGAAACAUAACAUCCACUGCCCAACUUGGAAUCGGGCAAAUUAAAGCUAGCUCAUAAUGUAAACCUUGAAUUCAAUACCAAAUUAUUCAAAUACCUUAAUACUCCACUUGGUAAGAAGCCCACGUUACCGAGCUCAGCGAUUGAUUUGUAGAUUUCUUGUAUAUAAACAACAAAGCUUUUUUCAAUUUCUUUUGAUGUGGGAUUAUUUCUUAUAGUGGUAUUUUGUUAUAUAAGUUUAAAAAAAAAAUCUUCAGAUGGGGUGAUAUGGUCAGAGAAACCAAUUUUCCUAUUUUAGGGUCAUUUUGUAUAUUUGCAAUUUAAAUUGUUGAAUUGAAAAAUAAACAAAGAAUAUAGAUUCUAUUUAUAAAAUAAAAAAUAUUUGUUGAAUUUGGUGGAUUCCAAGGCUAAUUGACUAUAUGAGCAAAUGACUUGUAAUCCUUCCACCGUUGAGAGUGAGAGGUAAUCGCUGCUCUGUGAAACCAGCCUCACGCAUUACCCUCAAGUUUAGGGAGAAUAUGAUUCAAGCGUUAGCCUGAAACAUAACAUCCACUGCUCAACUUGGAAACGGGCAAAUCAAAGCUAGCUCAUAAUGUCAACCUUGAAUUCAAUCCCAAAUUAUUCAAAUACCUU